UACGUAGGGGGCUAGCGUUGUCCGGAAUUAUUGGGCGUAAAGAGCUCGUAGGUGGUUUGUCGCGUUGUUCGUGAAAACUCACAACUCAAUUGUGGGCGUGCGGGCGAUACGGGCAGACUGGAGUACUGCAGGGGCUACUGGAAUUCUCGGUGUAGCGGUGAAAUGCGUAGAUAUCGAGAGGAACACCUGCGGCGAAGGCGGGUAGCUGGGCCGACACUGACGCUGAUGCGCGAAAGCCAGGGGAGCGAACGGG
rnacentral:rRNA from 1 species